GAUGAACGCUGGCGGCGUGCCUAAUACAUGCAAGUCGAGCGAACAGACGAGGAGCUUGCUCCUUUGACGUUAGCGGCGGACGGGUGAGUAACACGUGGAUAACCUACCUAUAAGACUGGGAUAACUUCGGGAAACCGGAGCUAAUACCGGAUAACAUGUUGAACCGCAUGGUUCAACAGUGAAAGACGGUCUUGCUGUCACUUAUAGAUGGAUCCGCGCCGCAUUAGCUAGUUGGUAAGGUAACGGCUUGCCAAGGCAACGAUGCGUAGCCGACCUGAGAGGGUGAUCGGCCACACUGGAACUGAGACACGGUCCAGACUCCUACGGGAGGCAGCAGUAGGGAAUCUUCCGCAAUGGGCGAAAGCCUGACGGAGCAACGCCGCGUGAGUGAAGAAGGUCUUCGGAUCGUAAAACUCUGUUAUUAGGGAAGAACAAAUGUGUAAGUAACUAUGCACGUCUUGACGGUACCUAAUCAGAAAGCCACGGCUAACUACGUG
rnacentral:rRNA from 1 species